UCUCUUUUUUUGAGUACGAAAAACUGAGAGAAAUUAGAGUUCUUGGAGAGCAUCAACAAGAUUGAAGAAAUCUCCUUCCAAAAUAGAGUGUGGAUUGAAAAACCUAACUCUGCCCUCCCCUUUCUUUUUGAUUUCAGAGGCAUUGAGAGAAGAGAAGUAGCUAGGGUUUCAUUCAACUUCAAUCCUGCCAUUCUCAUCCUCUUCCUCUGCUGCAAAUUUCGUACGCCUCCGCCGCCGCCGCUCCCUGCUUCUUUUCAUUCUUACAUUAGAAGCAUUCAGAGAAGAAAAGGUCCGCUAGGGUUUUCAUACAAUUUCAAUUGCUGCAUUUCUCUCUUCCUCUUCCUCUGCUGCACAUCUCACUGGCAUAUUCUCGCCGCUGCAAUACGCCGCAAUCUGCGACUGCCGCCGCGCUAGCUGCUGCCGCUGCGCAAGACUGCUGACAGACAUUCUCAAGGAUGACAGCAAUUCUAACUCUGAAUUCGUGCAAUCUUUUCAUGGGAACCUGUGCGAUGAUGAUGCCUUGAAAGUCAUCAAGUUGGGGAUUCCUGGUUGAUUUUGUUGAAGCCAUUAUGGAGGAUAAGCCAGCUUUCAUAUUCUGUGUCGAAGACAGAGCACUCUUUUUUUUGAAGAGCAACUUUUUUAUUGUUUUGGUAAACUUAUCCAGGAUUCAAGAGCCGCGUUAAGUUCUUUAGUAUUCUUGAUCCAACAAGACCCUGUAAUUAUGUUUCUGAAAUCUCUGAUGCUGGAUUUCUUGGUCCUCUUUUCAAGGUUACCAUGGAAGAACAUCCAACUGAAGCUUUCACAAACACAUCAGCGGAUAAGUGUUGGGAAACAAUUCUUGACAGACUAAACGCUGAGAUCGAGAGGUGUAAGAGUCUAGGUGAACAAGAACUCCCUCCCUUGGAGGUUUUGCAAAGCAUUAAUGGUCAUAAAAUGUUCGGAUUCCUUAAGCCAUCCAUUAUUCAGGCCAUUGAAGCUCAAGAUCCCAAUCAUCAAUGUGUAGAGUACUGGCAUCACAAAGAACUUUCCUCUGAAUCUUCAGGCAGUGGAAAUGAUGCCUCUAAGUGCUCAAAUGGUUCAAGCAACUCUCUGGGUGAUGUCAAGACCAAACUUUUCGGCUUCAAUUUGAUAAAGCAGGAGCAAGAAGAUAACAUAGAAGGACAUUUUCAUUCAUUUGAAGAGAUGAAGUCAUUGCUACAAGGAUUCCUAAAAAAGGCCAGUCCUGCCGAGUUGAGUGCAAUGCUCAAGUUAUUUAGCUCUAAUUCACAAGUUACUCAAUGGAGAGCGGCAUUCGUAGCGUUGAUCGAAGAGAUCCAGAAAGGUUGUAGAUAAAAGAAGAAUAAGAUCUCUCUAGUCAUUUUUCAAUUUAUUCAGUAGUUAGGUCCAUUCAUAACUAAACUGAAGAAAAUUCUGGGUAAGGCCAAGAUAUAAAAUUUUCUUUUGUUCCUAGUAAUAGAGUGAACUUGUUAGUUAGAGGUGGCUAAUGCUAUUAAACACCCAUUGUAGUUGCUAGUGCCUUUGUUCCAUUUAUACUUUUCUUUUUUAUAUUUAUAUUUUUCUUUUUAAGCUAGCUUUUGGUGUCAAUUAGGCUUUAUUGAUUUCAUCCUUACUGAUCUCCAUUUAUCUCUAAAUUUCUGUAUAUAAACAGAAAAAGAAAUGCUGCUGAUAUAUAAAUGAUGAUUGAUAUCAAUAGAAACAAUACAUG